UGAGGUCUCUACUUGACAGUUGUGUCUAAAAGUUGUAUGUAUUGCUUGAGAUUUAGGUCUAAUAGCUGUAUGCAGUACUGCUAAACAAUCACAUUGUACUUGCCAUGCAAUAUUUAAUAAUAGCAAAUGAGGUCAUUAUGAUCAUCAGUCAUUUAGAAAUAAGGUAAAGCAGUGAUUCAGCCCAAUAAUGCCCAAUAUCCACUGCCUAAUUUGUAUUUCAAAGUUUUUCACAUUAUUAUCAGAAAAAUAUAUUAGUUGUUUAAAUCAUAUUGUGACAAAUAUUAUUAUUCAUUUGAAAAAUACAUGACAACUGUACUUUUUUUUUUUUUACUAGAUUUCAAUG